rnacentral:misc_RNA from 1 species
GAUGAAGAACGUAGCGAAAUGCGAUAAGUAAUGUGAAUUGCAGAAUUCAGUGAAUCAUCGAAUCUUUGAACGCACAUUGCGCCCCCUGGUAUUCCGGGGGGCAUGCCUGUCCGAGCGUCAUUACAACCCUCAAGCUCAGCUUGGUGUUGGGCCCCACCGCCCCGGCGGGCCCUAAAGUCAGUGGCGGUGCCGUCCGGCUCCGAGCGUAGUAAUUCUUCUCGCUCUGGAGGUCCGGUCGUGUGCUCGCCAGCAACCCCCAAUUUUUUUCAGGUUGACCUCGGAUCAGGUAGGGAUACCCGCUGAACUUAAGCAUAUCAAUAAGCGGAGGA